UUUCUCCUUCUUCUCCUUCGCCUCCAGUCUCCUAAUGGAAACUGCAAUCUGGGCAACUACUUUAGAUUUUUUAAAAGAAAACAACAGUGAAGAGCAAUAAUUUAUAUAUUAAGUUUGAGCCCAAAUCAAAUAUAAAUGGAUUCUCUAAAAAUUAUUUUUUCCUCUCUGUUUGUCUUUCUCUGCCUCAAAUCAGCUUCUUUCCUGUUUUCAUCUGUCGCUUUCCUUUAUAGCUGUUUUCCUCUCACACUCUGUGUCUUCUUUCAUUUCCUUCUCCUUCCUUUUUCAGUGUGGGGAAGCUGCUGGCUUGCAGCCAAUUUUGCCCCCAAUGCUCACUCAUGAAAUGCAAAUGGGCUUUGAAAAGAAAUAUAAGUUCCACUGUCCAUCUUCACUGUCCGGGUCCUUAAAAUAUCACCUCAAAUAGUUCCUUCAUUCCAAUAGAUGGGAUGUAUUUUGUUCAUUUGAAACAACAAUGUGGUAAAAUUGAAAAUCCAUUUUAAAUUCCUUACACGCCAAAUCUUGGAAGAGGGCCCAUGAGUAACAUUUGUUCCAAGACUGUUUACAAUAAACCUUGUAAUCAAAGCAGCCAUUUUGUCAAGCAGCGUAGUAGGCCUUGUCCAUGUGUUAUGUCAGCAAUGUGGUUGCUGGCAGGGGUAUAGCUAUAAUUGAGCGGCUGGGUUCAAAGAACCCGGGCUCCCAGCUCCUGUGGGCCCCCCAGCUCCACCCCUCCCUAUUUUCUUCAUUAUCUCCCUCACUCCAAGGGGUCGCUGGGGAGAGGGGCAAACACAGGCCCCCUCUCCCCUAGCUACGUCCCUGGUUGCUGAUUCCAAACAUAUCCCUUGUAGCUGGCUUCAAUUGGAAACAAGGCAAUAUGUUUUAUAGCUACUUCCCUCAUAAACACACAUGAUGAAAGUUGCAGGGCGAACCAGACUUCUUAACAGCAGGAGAACGCCUGUGACUUUAAGAGGGAUGCGUCACAACAGCAACGCCUGUCCCCAGAAUGAUGAGAACCGGCCUGUGCUGAAUGCACCGGAGAUGCAAUCAAGCCAGCCUCUGUGGCCUUGUGCCCCAGCAAUGUUUCCCAAAGCCAAUUCCAUUUCAGAAGGACGUAAUACAGUCCAAGUGCAAAAGAUAUGUGCAUAAAAGAUGCAUGCAAAGAGAAAAAAGUUGCUGUAUUCAGAAGGACGUUGUUACUCAUGGAUUCAGCAUCCGCAGUUUCAUAUAUCCAUGAAAUGUGGGGAAUGUUCACAACUUGUAUGCUGGGUCUUUAAGAGAGGUUUGAACAGUCCUAGAUCCAGAUGGACUAAAAACUGGAAACUGUACUGUAGCAAAACACACACAGAGAGAGAAAGAGAAGGACUGAGAGGACAUGCAGCUGGACGCAUUCCAACAGCGGCACUAAAUAACUUACGAAAAUGGUUCGUUAUGUUUUCGCUGGAACUAAAACUAAAUCUGGAGGUGAAAAGACAAUCAACAAAGCCGCAAUGUUGAGACUCCAGAAAUAGAAAACAGCUGUCUCCAGAGGAAGCAUUGGCUGGCUUGGGAUCGGGAGACAGUCCACAGAAGCAGCUAUUCCAGCUCAAUUUCUCAAGCAAAAACUGUAAAGCAUUGACUCAAAGAGUUACGCAUCUAACAAAGCUGGCUAGAGCCAAUGCACGUGGAGGAACCAUCUUUCCAGUUUCACUGGUUAUCUCAGAACAAAAAAUGGAUGUGUGUUCUAGAAAAUUAAAAAUAAUUCCUGUGAAAGGAUUUGGGUUUAUCCAAUAUUUGCAGAUAACUGAGGAGGAUUCGCACAUGCCUGCUACAUACCAAGGAUGGGGGCGGGCGGGUUCCCCUAAGGGAUUUGUCUCCUUCUGUCCACACAGAAGCAUGUACUAGUGAGGACAAUUUACACAUGCUUGUUACAUACCAAAUAUUUGAGGGGUGCUGGGUUGCGGUUUUCCCCCAAGUGAUCUGUCUUCUUUAAUGCACACCGAAGCAUGUACGAGUGACUCUUUUCCAGGCAUUUCUGAACAUGCAUAUUGAAAUGUCAUACCACAAACAGCAUAUAGUGGGAUCCUUCUCAUGACCAUAUAGGGGUGGGCGGGGGGAAGGCGUGCUUCUACCUUGUGCCAGCCAGAUGACCAGAGCUUCAUUUGGACUCUGUAAGCUCGUGAGCCCACACAAACACAGCAGCAGGAAUUGGGAACCAGGGCCUCCACAUAUCCCACAAUGCAUUGCACAAGCAGCACCCACUAUAUAGAAGCUUGACUCUGCCUGGCCCUGCUUUCCACAGAACUUUAUGGUACACAUGGCCACCAGCAGCCUGGGAACCAUUCAAAUUGCACUGGUGCUGCAGACGACCCAAACAGAGAAGUAGGACAUCUCUCUUCGUUCCUAUCUCACUUUCAGUCUGGGUCUGGGCUACCCAGAUUUGGAACUCUUGGGUUAGGAGGCCUCUGAACCCAGCUGCCAUCUGGUUCCCCAGGUGACCACAGAUUCUUUGGUUAACCCCGUCCUGCCCAGGAAUCUGUGGUCGUGAAAACAGGACUGGCAGUAUUUCAUCAUAAACUGGCAGAAAUUCUGCAUGCAGAGGUGUUUGUGAGGAACGGUCUGCAUCUGUUGCAUUUCUGCCUGCUAUCAAGCUGACAGAGUCAUAGUUCACACUGCCAGAAGUUGACACCCAUUAAAAUAACAGUAAUUAACCACCCAAAGAAAAUGAUCCUGAUCCCUAAAUGUAUUUAUUCAUCUUUAAAUGCCAUCUGUAUGAUUAACAACACCAGAAUGCUUUCUCGUGUAUUCAUUUCCACUCCUUCCACACUCUAUUCCUCAUAAUGGCUGUUCUGUAACUAAAAUAAGCAAUGCUCAAAAGUUUGGCAAAUGAAGUGUGCCCUGCGUAUUUCUGCUCCCUCCCUGCCACAUGUGACUUCAGUCAACAGUCUUCCUUUUACCACCCUUUAAUCUGCUGCUAUUUUAAAAAAUGUUUUAUUUCAUUUUGUAAUGUUUUAUUUUGAUUUAAAAUGUUGAUAUUGUUA